rnacentral:rRNA from 1 species
GACGAACGCUGGCGGCGUGCUUAACACAUGCAAGUCGAACGUGAUUUUUGUGGAAAUUCUUUCGGGAAUGGAAAUGAAAUGAAAGUGGCGAACGGGUGAGUAACACGUGAGCAACCUACCUUACACAGGGGGAUAGCCGUUGGAAACGACGAUUAAUACCGCAUGAGACCACAGAAUCGCAUGAUAUAGGGGUCAAAGAUUUAUCGGUGUAAGAAGGGCUCGCGUCUGAUUAGCUAGUUGGAAGGGUAAAGGCCUACCAAGGCGACGACCAGUAGCCGGUCUGAGAGGAUGAACGGCCACAUUGGAACUGAGACACGGUCCAAACUCCUACGGGAGGCAGCAGUGGGGAAUAUUGCACAAUGGGGGGAACCCUGAUGCAGCGACGCCGCGUGAGCGAAAAAGGUUUUCGAAUCGUAAAGCUCUGUCCUAUGAGAAGAUAAUGACGGUAUCAUAGGAGGAAGCCCCGGCUAAAUACGUG